rnacentral:tRNA from 1 species
CGGGAUGUGGCGCAGCUUGGUAGCGCACCGGUUUCGGGAACCGGGGGUCGUGGGUUCGAAUCCCGCCAUCCCGAC